UGGGGAAUUUUGGACAAUGGGCGCAAGCCUGAUCCAGCCAUGCCGCGUGCGGGAAGAAGGCCUUCGGGUUGUAAACCGCUUUUGUCAGGGAAGAAAUCUUCUGAGUUAAUACCUCGGGAGGAUGACGGUACCUGAAGAAUAAGCACCGGCUAACUACGUGCCAGCAGCCGCGGUAAUACGUAGAGUGCAAGCGUUAAUCGGAAUUACUGGGCGUAAAGCGUGCGCAGGCGGUUUUGUAAGACAGGGGUGAAAUCCCCGGGCUCAACCUGGGAACUGCCUUUGUGACUGCAAGGCUUGAGUGCGGCAGAGGGGGAUGGAAUUCCGCGUGUAGCAGUGAAAUGCGUAGAUAUGCGGAGGAACACCGAUGGCGAAGGCAAUCCCCUGGGCCUGCACUGACGCUCAUGCACGAAAGCGUGGGGAGCAAACAGGAUUAGAUACCCUGGUAGUCCACGCCCUAAAACGAUGUCAACUGGUUGUUGGGAAGGUUCCUUCUCAGUAACGUAGCUAACGCGUGAAGUUGACCGCCUGGGGAGUACGGCCGCAAGGUUG
rnacentral:rRNA from 1 species